CGGACCUCAGAUCAGGCAAGACCACCCGCUGAGUUUAAGCAUAUCACUAAGCGGAGGAAAAGAAACUAACAAGGAUUUCCGNAGUAACGGCGAGCGAAC
rnacentral:rRNA from 1 species